rnacentral:tRNA from 1 species
GGGGAUAUAGCGCACUUGGUAGAGUGCUUGCCUUGCAUGCACAAGGCCCUGGGUUUAAUCCCCAGUAUCACCA